rnacentral:rRNA from 1 species
GCGAGUCAUUGUAGUAAUACAAGGCAGACGGCUCAGUAACGCGUACUCUCCAAACCUAUGGACGGGAAUAACCUCGGGAAACUGAGCAUUAUGCCGAUAGAACAUUAUGCCUGGAAUGGUUUAUGUUCCAAAUGAUUUAUCGCCGUAGGAUGGGACUGCCCCCUAUCAGUUUGUUGGUGAGGUAAUGGCCCACCAAGACUAUUACAGGUACGGGCUCUGAGAGGAGUAGCCCGGAGAUGGGUACUGAGACACGGACCCAGGCCCUAUGGGGCGCAGCAGGCGAGAAAACUUUGCAAUGUGCGAAAGCACGACAAGGUUAAUCCGAGUGGUUUCUGCUAAAGGAACCUUUUGUCGGUCCUAGGAACACCGAUGAAUAAGGGGUGGGCUAGUUCU